CCAACUAGCUUUCAUGAGUUCUAUUCAAAAUCGACCAGUUUCAAAACCAAACAAAUUUCAUCAUCCAAAAAUUAUUCAUGUUUGUUCAAAACUACAAGUGUACAAUUUACAAGCCAUAUUUAUAUUACACAUUGGAGCAUUACAAGAGGAAAAUUACAAGAUCUAUUUCUAAUUUGCCAAACUCAUAAAGCUACUGAGAUCGAAGCUUCACAACAAUGCCUUGCCUUCAUGUCAAACCAAGCCUACUUUGACCAAUGUCCAAACUUUGCUCCAUCUUCAUGUCUUCACCAAGCUUCUAUCUCCUCCAAACUCUUUUCCAUCUUCAUUUUUGCCUUGAUAACAACUUGUACAACCAGCUUCCACAAACAAAACCAUGUUAACACUCCAAACCAUUCACACAUCAGCAUAUAA